rnacentral:lncRNA from 1 species
UGUUUGAAUAUGCUUUAACUCAGAAUCAUUAUAUUUUUAUACAAUGUAGGUGCCCACUAUAUACAGGUGUUGGAUGAUUUUGGUACUCAUUGGAACUACUAUGUUGCCAUGGAAACUGCACCAAAAAUUUCAAAAGUAUCAAAAUGCUCAAAACUUAAUGAAACUUCACAGUAACGAUGAGCAACAUUGGAACAUGUGGAAUUUGGCGUUGGAAUUUCCAAAAUAUCUUUUGUUACCAUGGAAACAAUGCAAAAAUGUCAAAACUUUGAAUUUUCACAGAACAUUCCAG